rnacentral:rRNA from 1 species
UUCGGAUCGCAGCCUGCAACCCGGCUGCGUGAAGCUGGAAUCGCUAGUAAUCGCGGAUCAGAAUGCCGCGGUGAAUACGUUCCCGGGUCUUGUACACACCGCCCGUCACACCAUGGGAGCCGGAAACGCCCGAAGCCAGUGGCCUGACCGAAAGGAGGGAGCUGUCGAAGGCGGGUCCGGUGACCGGGGUGAAGUCGUAACAAGGUACC